UUCAAACGAGAACUUUGAAGGCCGAAGUGGAGAAGGGUUCCAUGUGAACAGAAGUUGAACAUGGGUCAGUCGGUCCUAAGAGAUAGGCGAGCGCCGUUCCGAAGGGACGGGCGAUGGCCUCCAUUGCCCUCAGCCGAUCGAAAGGGAGUCGGGUUCAGAUCCCCGAAUCCAGAGUGGCGGAGAUGGGCGCCGCGAGGCGUCCAGUGAAGUAAUGCAACCGAUCCCAGAGAAGCGGACUCGCUGUGGGAAGCGCACGGAGGGGCAGAGGAUGCUGAAUACUCCGAGGUC
rfam:Chelonia mydas contig189192, whole genome shotgun sequence.